AGCUUUGCGUAAUGGCAGUAUCACAGUCAGUGAGGUUUAUCUGAGGCGCGGAUUAUUGCUAAUUGGAAGGCAUAGGCCGGAGGAUUGGGACUUCCAAGAUGACUAGCUUGGGUUACUCGAAACCCUACCUCAAAAAAAAAAAAAGUUU
rnacentral:snRNA from 14 species